GAUGAACGCUGGCGGCGUGCCUAAUACAUGCAAGUCGAGCGAACGGACGAGAAGCUUGCUUCUCUGAUGUUAGCGGCGGACGGGUGAGUAACACGUGGAUAACCUACCUAUAAGACUGGGAUAACUUCGGGAAACCGGAGCUAAUUCCGGAUAAUAUUAUGAACCGCAUGGUUCAAAAGUGAAAGACGGUCUUGCUGUCACUUAUAGAUGGAUCCGCGCUGCAUUAGCUAGUUGGUAAGGUAACGGCUUACCAAGGCAACGAUGCAUAGCCGACCUGAGAGGGUGAUCGGCCACACUGGAACUGAGACACGGUCCAGACUCCUACGGGAGGCAGCAGUAGGGAAUCUUCCGCAAUGGGCGAAAGCCUGACGGAGCAACGCCGCGUGAGUGAUGAAGGUCUUCGGAUCGUAAAACUCUGUUAUUAGGGAAGAACAUAUGUGUAAGUAACUGUGCACAUCUUGACGGUACCUAAUCAGAAAGCCACGGCUAACUACGUG
rnacentral:rRNA from 1 species